rnacentral:rRNA from 1 species
AACGCUAGCUACAGGCUUAACACAUGCAAGUCGAGGGGCAGCAUAGAAGUAGCAAUACUUUGGUGGCGACCGGCGCACGGGUGAGUAACGCGUAUGCAACCUACCUAUCAGAGGGGAAUAACCCGGCGAAAGUCGGACUAAUACCGCAUAAAACAGGGGCACCGCAUGGUGAUAUUUGUUAAAGAAAUUCGCUGAUAGAUGGGCAUGCGUUCCAUUAGGUAGUUGGUGAGGUAACGGCUCACCAAGCCGACGAUGGAUAGGGGAACUGAGAGGUUGGUCCCCCACACUGGUACUGAGACACGGACCAGACUCCUACGGGAGGCAGCAGUGAGGAAUAUUGGUCAAUGGGCGAGAGCCUGAACCAGCCAAGUCGCGUGAAGGAAGAAGGAUCUAUGGUUCGUAAACUUCUUUUGCAGGGGAAUAAAGUGCAGGACGUGUCCUGUUUUGUAUGUACCCUGAGAAUAAGGAUCGGCUAACUCCGUGCCAGCAGCCGCGGUAAUACGGAGGAUCCGAGCGUUAUCCGGAUUUAUUGGGUUUAAAGGGUGCGUAGGUGGUUUAAUAAGUCAGCGGUGAAAGUUUGCAGCUUAACUGUAAAAAUGCCGUUGAAACUGUUAGACUUGAGUGUAAAUGAGGUAGGCGGAAUGCGUGGUGUAGCGGUGAAAUGCUUAGAUAUCACGAAGAACUCCGAUUG